rnacentral:rRNA from 1 species
UUGGAGGGCAAGUCUGGUGCCAGCAGCCGCGGUAAUUCCAGCUCCAAUAGCGUAUAUUAAAGUUGUUGCAGUUAAAAAGCUCGUAGUUGAACCUCGGGGUCUACCCAUUGGUCAGGCUUAAUUGUCUGUACUGGUGAGAUGGAUCUCUACCUUCUGAGGAACUUUCAUGCCAUUUAUUUGGUGUGAUGGGAAAUCAGGACUGUUACUUUGAAAAAAUUAGAGUGUUUAAAGCAGACUAUCGUCUGAAUACAUUAGCAUGGAAUAAUGAAAUAGGACGGACUGAUUCUAUUUCGUUGGUUUCUAGGAUCACCGUAAUGAUUAAUAGGGAUAGUUGGGGGCAUUAGUAUUCAAUUGUCAGAGGUGAAAUUCUUGGAUUUAUUGAAGACUAACUACUGCGAGAGCAUUUGCCAAGGAUGUUUUCAUUAAUCAAGAACGAAAGUUAGGGGAUCGAAGACGAUCAGAUACCGUCGUAGUCUUAACCAUAAACUAUGCCGACUAGGGAUCGGACGAAGUUAAUUUUAUAAUGACGCGUUCGGCGCCUUACGGAAAC